rnacentral:lncRNA from 1 species
UAUCUGAAUCUAAAGCAAUUGAUAACAUUUAACAACAAAUUGAUAACAUUUAACAUUUUAUUUAUUUUAUUUCAUUUAACAUUUAUCUAGAGCAAUUGAUAACAUUUAACAUUUUAAACAGGACAAAAAGUGGCAUGCUAUAUGAAGUUAUCAUUAUCUGAAUCUAGAGCAAUUGAUAACAUUUAACAACAAAAUUCUACACGGUGCUACAACUCUGUUUUACGUACAUACAUUUUAGUUGGUUCCAAGACUAUACACACAUUUAUUUCAAAAUGCACGCAAAUUGUAGAAAUGAUGAGGUACAUACAAUGAAGUCUUUUUAGAUGUGGAACUUGAAAGACAGUCAUAUCGAACUCUUAAAAUUGAGAGACCUAAUUGUGAGUCUAGAAGAAAGUUCAUUUUAACUUGAUGUUUAUGUAAUUCUUAUACAGUGGGAAUAAAAUGGAUUACGGUAUGUAUAAUAAGUACACACAUUUUUGCGUUCAUGUGUUUGUCAAAUUUUUAGCAGAAAAAAACGUAAUAUAAGCAUAAAGACAACUUGUUCAAAGAUCAUGCAUCUACAUUGACAAUGUUAUUCUCUCCUCUUUUAAACUCAUGCCUCACUUCCAAACUUUAAUUAUCCUUUAUCCCUUAUAUCAUCCUACACAGCACCUUUUAUUUAAUAAAACUCCUGUCAUAUCCAGUGCAUUUUGAAUACAUGCUUAUGUGGUUUG